rnacentral:rRNA from 1 species
AUACGUAGGGGGCGAGCGUUGUCCGGAAUGACUGGGCGUAAAGGGCGUGUAGGCGGCCGAUUAAGUCUGGAGUGAAAGUCCCGCUUUCAAGGUGGGAAUUGCUUUGGAGACUGGUUGGCUUGAGUGCGGAAGAGGUAAGUGGAAUUCCCAGUGUAGCGGUGAAAUGCGUAGAGAUUGGGAGGAACACCAGUGGCGAAGGCGACUUACUGGACUGUAACUGACGCUGAGGCGCGAAAGUGUGGGGAGCAAACAGGAUUAGAUACCCUGGUAGUCCACACUGUAAACGAUGAAUGCUAGGUGUAGGGGGUAUCGACCCCUUCUGUGCCGCAGUCAACACAAUAAGCAUUCCGCCUGGGGAGUACGGCCGCAAGGUUGAAACUCAAAUGAAUUGGCGGGG